UUUUGCUGAUCAGCCAGGGAACACAGCUACAACCCACAGAACUGUGUCUUCGUCAGUGUCUUUCAACAGCACCAGUUCGUUUCCAGGAUCUAAACUGGGCGCAGUGUCAGUCUGACAACAACUUUUAUCACGCCUCUUCAUGGUUUGAUGCUUUCCAACAAUGUGUCACUGUUAGUUUGUGAUUUUAACACCAAUGAUUGAAGGCUCCAGAAAAGCUUCUAAAUGGAUCUUGAGGGUCAAGGCAGAUGUUUGCCCACACGGAGUCGGAGGAUUCUCCCAGUUAAAGUCUCUGUGGGAUCCCUCAUCUUUCCCAGGGGCCAGAUGGACGAUGUAAUCCCUCCAGUGUGUCCUUGGUCUGUUCUGGGGUGUCGUCCCAGUUGGUCAUGCCUCAGGACGUCUCCGAACCGAGGAGUGUGGCCUUUUCAACCACGCCUGUUGGCUCCUCGCACAGCGAAAGGAGCGGUGAUUCAGCGUCGAGGUUUUUCAGAAUCACUGAAGCUCAGUUUAACAGGCAGACACCAGCCAGCCGGCGGAGAAACCUCAUUACAGCCGCUCCUACCUGCGAUCUCAUUCUCUCUGUCACUAUUCAACGAGGACGUGAACCAGGGCCGACGGUUCAAUUGAGAGUUUUACUCUUUGGGCUCGGCUCCUGACUUUCCCCACCGCAUUGUGAUGCAAAGCCUCGCCGGCCAGUGGCCCUAACCGACCAUCAAUCUCACAGCCCCCUCCGUUGCUCCACAGUACGCCGCCGCUCUGUGUGGCAGCUGCUCCCUCCUCGAGGAGAAUGAGAAAUCUACGCCCCAAACCUCCCAAAUCCCCAACACUCCACUUCCCAUUUCAGUGAAGCCAACAGGAGAAAAUCCUCCUCCAAAAGUAGAAAUGCCUCCACAGAUGUCAAAUGCCCCCCCCCACCCCCGAGGUACAUUUACAUGUAAUUUGCUCAGUGUAUUAAGUUAACUAUUAAGACAGAUAGAGUUGAACUGACUGUUCAGUGUUCCCCACUUUCCUUUAGUUGAGUUAAUUAAUCUUGAUAACUGAUAAACGGUAGCACUGUAAGAAGGGUCAGAGUUUGAAUUCCGAUUUGCCCGGGGUCUUUCUGUGUGGUCGUUGCAAAGCUCUCGUGACCCUUGACAUCCAAUAUUGAAUCUGUUCAUGAGUCCAAAUUUCCUCGAGGCAUUACUGAAUGUCACGGGACCAAAAACGUGUUUUGUGAAGCCACCUUGACCUUUAACCUUCCUCCAGCCCAAUCAUUUCAAUGAAACCAUAAGCCUGAGUAAACAUUUGGGCUGAAUUUGAAGAAAUUACCUCAAGGCAUUCUUGCAAUUUCAUGUUCACAAAAAUAGGACAGAUGAUGGACAGACGACCAUAAAACGUCGUCAGCUCGACAUCCUAAAACUCAUGUGAUUAACCAAGGUAUAAUUAUCUCUAUAGUGACAUUGAGCCAGAGUGAGUGUUUUAAUUUGACCUAAUUAAAACUUUCUAUUGCAGUAUUCCUACUUGUUCAGACUAAACAAAUCAGACGCAUCACCUUAUGGGACGCUAUGUCGUCUGAAACAUUGUCUGUCUGAAGGUCGGUGUCGCUGUUAAGCAGACUUCUCGUAACCAGUGUCCUCCAGUCACGCUCGGGGCUUUUUAGUGAAGUCUUAUUUAUCUAAAUACCAAAUGCAGAAAAUGUUUAAUGUAGCUUAAGUGGCUGAAAAUGGAGUUUCCAGAGAUUUAUUGGCGAGGGAAUAAUGAUAUUGAAAAGGUCUUAUGUGGGGAAACUGAUGGUCCAUUAGGAACCUUGCAGUUGUAGAUGUUAUGGAUUCAGGGCCACGACUGUGACCUUACAUGUAAUCAAAGUCUAUCACCGAAGAGUUUACGACCUCUAGGCUGUGAAUGCCAACACAUUAACUUUGCCUCGACGUUAAUUUAGGACUUGGAUGCUUUAACCUAUUUAUCCUCAUAGACCAACCGGCGGUCUCAUUAGAAAUCCAAAUGAUCAGCCCAGACUUUGUGCAAGUCUACUGAACUUAAAUGUCAAAGCAAGUCAUCAACCCAGUGAUUGAUGCAAAAUAAGCCCCACAAAAUAACAAGGAAAUAAACAUAAAAUAAUGACAACGCAUCAAAUUUUCCACCCGAAGUGAUGGUACAGCUAAAAUAAAAUGGCAUAUUGGAUUUCACUGAGCAGAUACAGUACGUGAUAUGCAUGGAUUUUUUUUUUUAAUGAAAAAGCAAGGACAGCCGUCCAAGCCUGAAGAUGGAAUGUUGAGUAGAUGUGGGGCGUCACAGAGGUGGUCGACUGUACACUGCAGAUGAAUAUGUGAUUAUGUCUCCCUGACUUAUUUUAAAAGAGACCACAGCUUUUUGUCCGUCAGGUUGUUUUUAAAAAUACAUCAGUCUUCCUCUGGUCUGAUGUGAGCCCCCCCCCCAAAAAAAUUGCAUCUGAAGUAAAAAUAAAACCACAGAUGAAAAUAAAAGACUAGAAAUUUCUCAAACCAUAUUGUUUUCUAAAAGAGCUUUGAACCACCCUGCAUGAACAUUUAUGAUCAAGGACGUGCACAAAUAUUCUGGAGGAAAAGAACAAAACAAUUAAACAGUAAAAGUUGUGAGAAAAAUUCUGGAAAAUUGCAAAAACAAAACAGGAAAAUAUGGUAUUUUUAAUUUCCCCAAAAAGUGAUUAGGAAAAACACUAGAAAAACUGAGGAGAAAAUUCCUACAAUCUCGGAAAAAUCCCCCCCAAAUUUCAGAAAAUGCUGUCACUUUUAUUGUUGGUAAAACCUGAAGGACAAUUUACUCAUGAGAAUAUGCAUCUAUUUAUCCUCCGGGACACGAGACCUUGACUUGACAAGACUGGAUCAUGCAAACGGCUCUGGAUCAUGGUUCCAUGUUUAAUAAACAUCACCAUCACCACUCAGGCCAAACACAGAACUGUUUACUGCAGCGUAAACAAACAGGGACUCUGGGAUCCGUGGAUCAGGAGUCAGAAUUUCUGUUAACUGUGGCACCAAGGUCAGAAUCCUGACAGGUGAUUGUUGUUGAUGAGCUUUAACUUAAACCGUUGUUUCCUCCACCACUUUCUCACACAGAUGUAAUCAAAGUGUUUUUCAUGACGUUUGCUGUCAGUCAGUCCUCAGGAGAUGAAUCUUAAUGAUGCUGGUUGAACCUCUGAAGUUUGUUUUCUUUUUACCCAGAGCUGCGUCAUGGUCCAAGUGGCAGAUUUAAUACGUUCAGCAAUAAAUAUUUUUGUUGCAGAUUUUUAAAGCCAUUUUUAUUCGACUGUUACUGUGAAAAUACGUUGUCGUACACGUUUGCAAAAGGUGAUUCAUUUCCCUUAAUCCAUUUCAUUACAAUUUGAUUUACAAACAUAAAAGGCCAUCGUAAAAAAUAAACAUAAUUAAUUGUA